rnacentral:rRNA from 1 species
CAGUAGAGUAUAUUAAAGUUGUUGCGGUUAAAAAGCUCGUAGUUGGAUUUCUGCCGAGGACGACCGGUCCGCCCUCUGGGAGAGUAUCUGGCUUGGCCUGGCCAAUUUCUUGGAGAGCGUAGCUGCGCUUGACUCUGCGGUGCGGCAUCCAUGACUUUUACUUUGAGGACAUGAGAGUGUUUCAAGCAGGCUUAAGCCUUGAAUACAUUAGCAUGGAAUAAUAAGAUGGGACAUCGGUUCUAUUUUGUUGGCCUCUAGGUUUGAGGUAACGAUGAAUAUGGAUAGUUGGGGGCAUUCGUAUUUAAUUGUCAGAGGUGAUAUUCUUGGAUUUGUUCAAGACGGACUACUGCGAAAGCAUUUGCCAAGGAUGGUUUCAUUGA